rnacentral:rRNA from 1 species
GCCUAGGUGGGAUUAGCUAGUUGGUGAGGUAAGGGCUCACCAAGGCGACGAUCCCUAGCUGGUCUGAGAGGAUGAUCAGCCACACUGGAACUGAGACACGGUCCAGACUCCUACGGGAGGCAGCAGUGGGGAAUAUUGCACAAUGGGCGCAAGCCUGAUGCAGCCAUGCCGCGUGUGUGAAGAAGGCCUUCGGGUUGUAAAGCACUUUCAGUCGUGAGGAAGGUGGUGUAGUUAAUAGCUGCAUUAUUUGACGUUAGCGACAGAAGAAGCACCGGCUAACUCCGUGCCAGCAGCCGCGGUAAUACGGAGGGUGCGAGCGUUAAUCGGAAUUACUGGGCGUAAAGCGCAUGCAGGUGGUUUGUUAAGUCAGAUGUGAAAGCCCGGGGCUCAACCUCGGAAUAGCAUUUGAAACUGGCAGACUAGAGUACUGUAGAGGGGGGUAGAAUUUCAGGUGUAGCGGUGAAAUGCGUAGAGAUCUGAAGGAAUACCGGUGGCGAAGGCGGCCCCCUGGACAGAUACUGACACUCAGAUGCGAAAGCGUGGGGAGCAAACAGGAUUAGAUACCCUGGUAGUCCACGCCGUAAACGAUGUCUACUUGGAGGUUGUGGCCUUGAGCCGUGGCUUUCGGAGCUAACGCGUUAAGUAGACCGCCUGGGGAGUACGGUCGCAAGAUUAAAACUCAAAUGAAUUGACGGGGGCCCGCACAAGCGGUGGAGCAUGUGGUUUAAUUCGAUGCAACGCGAAGAACCUUACCUACUCUUGACAUCCAGAGAACUUUCCAGAGAUGGAUUGGUGCCUUCGGGAACUCUGAGACAGGUGCUGCAUGGCUGUCGUCAGCUCGUGUUGUGAAAUGUUGGGUUAAGUCCCGCAACGAGCGCAACCCUUAUCCUUGUUUGCCAGCGAGUAAUGUCGGGAACUCCAGGGAGACUGCCGGUGAUAAACCGGAGGAAGGUGGGGACGACGUCAAGUCAUCAUGGCCCUUACGAGUAGGGCUACACACGUGCUACAAUGGCGCAUACAGAGGGCAGCCAACUUGCGAAAGUGAGCGAAUCCCAAAAAGUGCGUCGUAGUCCGGAUUGGAGUCUGCAACUCGACUCCAUGAAGUCGGAAUCGCUAGUAAUCGUGGAUCAGAAUGCCACGGUGAAUACGUUCCCGGGCCUUGUACACACCGCCCGUCACACCAUGGGGAGUGGGCUGCAAAAGAAGUAGGUAGUUUAACCUUCGGGGGGGACGCUUACCACUUUGUGGUUCAUGACUGGGGGUGAAGUCGUACAGGGGUAAACCGUAAA